rnacentral:lncRNA from 1 species
AAAUUCCCAGAGAAAGUAAAGCAGGAAGGAACUUUCCCAAGAUAGGCGCACUAGAUCUUUAUUCUAGGGAAAGCAAAUUUGAGAUGUAAGAAGGUCGGGUCAGCUUGAGACAGAUGUGGUUCUUCUGGGUCAGUCCCACUCAAUGGGAACUCUAUAUCAAAUCUCAAAGAGACGAGAAGGUUUUUCCAUGGAAGAAAACUCCAACCUAGCAAAGAAUUUACCUAUCUCAUCCCGUAGCUAUCUCAAUGGAACUAGAGGGCCUUAGGACUGCUAUUUCAUAGCUGGACACUAGAAUGGAACUCCCUGAAUAUGAAAUUAUAUCGUUAGUCCUAAAUACAAGAGAAAGAUCUAUCGCCCCACCAUCUGAUGUGAUCCGGCCCGAUUAAUUGAGUCGGGUUCACUUAAGAUGCCCGAUCAUCGACGAGAAGCUCGUUCAAAUUUGUAGAUAGAUGGAGUUUGAAUGUUUUAUAAGCGGAAGGUAGGCAAAAUGGGUUCAAAGGAUGGGUUUUGGUUUGAUGAAAGAUAGGUUCGGUUUAACAAAGAAUUAAGUUACAAAGAUGUUAAAUAAAUGGAAAUGGAUAAAGAACUCAAACUUUAAGAAUGAUUCAAUACUAAAAAGUAUUGCCCCGAGUCUUAUAUUGCUUAAGGUGAAUUUUGAUGAAGGAUAGAAGCGGACCUUGACCCGUUACCUAUAUGGAGGUAAGAACCAAAAGUAUAGGAAGAUGGUUGAACGCCACACCGAUUCGGUGAUAAGUUCAAUGGAGUUCGGAUUGACACCACUAGCAAGCUAGAUAAGUCGCUUCGAGACUCGAACGAAAGAAGAGAGGAGGUAACCUCACAAGAACAAAAGUUCUAUUAAGUUUAAUUGAUCAAAUUCUGUAACCUUUUUACAAAGAGAAAAGAACUAUUUAUAGAUUACAUUAGAUAGCCAAAUAGACUAAGUAAAUUCGGCUUUAAUUGAAUUAAACUAAUCUAGAAAUGUAUCUUUAAAGGCUAUGUCCAAAUUCAGCUGAAUGGUACUUCAAUGGGCAGCUUCAUGGCUAAGGAAAUGAACUUGAAGGCUUGGUGAAUGUAUGGGAGAGCAAUGGACAUGUCUAGGUUCGGCCAAGGUGUGAAUGGACACUCCAAGAGAUGCCUUUUGGCCGAAUAGGUACUUAGGAGAUCAAUGGACAGCAACCGAUGCAUGUAAGUGAACAUUCAUGCAUUCUUCCAUUCAUUGUAUUAAAUCAUUCAUGCAUCAUCCUUACGUUCAUUGAACCAGCCCAUUCAUGAAUCAUCUUUAAUUGUGUUCCCACAUCAUGCAUUGUAAGUAGACGUUCAUGCACCUAGCUUGAAUGAAUCUCCACAUUCGGCUGUACCUACAUGAAACAUGAACAAAUUAAUUAAAAUAGAUAUAUUAAUUAACACAUAAAUUUAAAAUAGACAAAAAUAAAGUCUUAAGCUAAACAUAUUAAAUUUGGCUAAGACAACUUUAAAAACAUGAAAUAAAUCAAAACAUAAUUAUGAGCUGUAAUAACUUAAACUAAGUUAAUAAAAUACUUUAAUUAUUCAACCAAUAAAAUAAAUGAGCUGAAUUGUAGCUAAAUUGAGCUCGAUUGAGCUGAAAUGAGCUCAAUUGAGCUGGUCGGAGUUGAAACGAGCUAGAAAAGCUAAAAUGGAGCUGAAAUUAGCUUGCACUAAGGUGCAUGGUUUCUUCAAGGAGUUGGAUCGAGCUUCCUCAUCUUCAACAAGCUGAUUCUCCUUCCAAAACUUGAACAACAAAGCUGAAACAACUUCAUGAAAUCGCUUGGACCUAGCUCGGGUCAUUGGUCCCUUUGGAAGCUCGAGGGAAUCAAGACGAGGACUUGAUGGGGCUUGGGGCGUGGUCACAUCAUUCCCCCUUCUUCAAGACGACUUGUCCUCAAGUCGAGCUGUUUAUUCUCUAGAAAAUAAUCCGUCUUUUGCAACUCUCCUUGAAUGAAUGGAACAAUUAGUCGUUCAUAAGCCUUUGCAAAAGAACUCACAAUAUUCGGCAUUAGAGAUGGCAAAUGAAUCAAUGAAAAUAGACAACCAUUAAUCAUCAAGAAAUGAUCAGAACAACUAUGUGGAUCAUGCAUGGUCAUACAAGACAAGUAUGAGUUAUGUAAAAAGGCAAACUUAAAACAUCAUUCUUACAAUCAUAUGGACAAAACUCCUUCCAUAUCCAUAACUCAUCAAAUGGUCGAGACAAAGACAAAUAUGUUUUUAAGCAUUCAAACCUUUCAAUUUGCUUCCACAAGUCAUUGUUCAAGUAAAUGGAAUGCGAGUAAUGGAACAAGAAAUUUAAAUCUUCAUCACAAACACACAAAUGAAAAGUUUCAUAUGAUUCAUGAUUUCGCAUGUUUGGCACUCGCAAUUGUCGUUUGGUUAUGUUCUCAACAAUGAAUUCAUCACAUUUUCCAAAGAGAAAAAUCGUCUUAUCAUUACUCAAAAUGGAUUUAUCAUCAUCAAGCAAAAUCAAAUAAUUAACCACAACAGGAUUCAAACGAUUUUCAGCAAUCAAGGUGUCUUCAAAAAUUUUAGUUACAUUCGACUUAAGAGAAGAUGGUCGCAUAACAUCAGAAUUCAUACCUGAUUCACCUUUAGGAAUGGAAAAUUGAGAAUCAAUUUUACCUUUUUCAAUCAAAGUGAACCUUUUCUCCUUGAGAGGGUAUUGAAGUCGAAGCUCAUUACACAAUCCUUGAAAAACCUGAAACGAAGGGUAAACACAAAGGCAACUUGCACUUUUCGAAGUGUUGGGUUCAUAAUGCUGAAAGAGGGUAAUGUCUCCAUAGACGUUGAACUCAAAGGAACAGGCUAAAACACUAUUCACAUAUUGAACAUAUGUAACGAUACCAGGUUCAAAAACAUGAGUUGAUCUUACCUUUCCGAAAUGAAAAAUGAAUUUCAUGGACAGCCACAUAAAAUGAUCAAAGAACAAUUUUAAAUUAUAAACAGAGUCUUUAAAUUUCAGAGGCCAAACAUCAAACAGACAUAAAUUUGUCACAUAAAAUUUAGGAUGCUUGAGUUCCGCACAUAUCAACCUAAAAUAAUAAAUUCCAGGUUUGAACACACGAGUUUGAUUACUUACGCCAAAGUGUUUUAGUAAAUCAAACAUGUCAAACCAAAAGGGUUUUCGUGUCCAUAGAAACAAACAUUCAAAUCUCUUUAUAUUCAUCAAAUCAAACUUGCACAAAUUCAUGGAUUUGUCACAUGACAAUAAUGGAUGCACAAAAUUAUCAUAUUUGAAAAAUUGAAUCGCUUUUCGUGAAAACCCGACAUCAUGCAAAACCAAAUCUUUAGUUUGUCGUUCGUACCGAACAACAUCAACCACAUUCAAAGAAUAGAAAUUAAUCGAAUGAAAAUAAGAGAAUUUUUUUAAAACAAAGUCAUUUUCAACAACUUUCAAACUUGAUGGCCAUGACUCGGUUUUUAAAACUUCCUUACCUCGCUUACCUUCAAGCUCGUGUGGUUUGAUUUCAACUUCAUCCUUACCUUUUUUGGUCAUGCAAAAACGUCGCUCGUUAGGAAGAUAUUGAAGUUGAUAUUCGUUACAGAGAUUUGUCGAAACCUGAAAAGAAGGAACAGAACAAAAACAAACAUCACAGGGGUUAGUUAAAAUUUCGUUCUCCUUUUCUUGUUCUCGCUCACUAUCUUCAUUUUCUCUCGUUUCUUCUUCAACAUCUUUUUCUUUUUCAAUUUUUUUCUCAAUCUCAAUUUCUUUUUCAAUUUUCUUUUCUUCAUUUUCUUUUUCACUCACUAUUUUGAUUUCUUUUUCUUUUUCACUACAAUGUGCGGAUGACACGAAAGAAUCAAAGAGAUAAUCAUUUGGCUCAAAGAAAGAGAAAAUAUUUUCAUAAGCUUCUCGUCCAUUUCUUCGAGAACAAUCCUUUGGGAAGGACUUCUUUGAAGCAUACGAGGAAUAGCUCGUCCUUUCUCGCUCAUCUCGAGUGAUUUUUGACUCGAAGUUUUCUUCUCGCGGUCUCGAAAGCCUUGUUGAAUAGGAGUCUUGAUAUGUGUCUCUUCUCGAAUAAUGUCUUCGUGAUGAACUUAACUCUAUUUCUCGACUCGGUGGAGUUUGCUUCCGUCGGGCUUUUUCCUCCACUUGGUCCAAACGUCUUUUUAAUGGGCUUAAUUUUUCCUCCAAUAUUCGGCCCAUCUCGUUCACCAAGUAUUGAAAUUCAUCGGUAGAGAAUUCUUCUUGAUACAUGAUUCAAGAAAAUGUUCGAAAAUCGAAAGAUAGAAUAAAUAGUAAAUGAACCUCACCAAUUCAAAAUCCUCACCAAUCUCUCACAAAGAAAUAAUGAUUUUCACUCGCACUCGUGUUUACACUCUUCUAGGCUUUUUCUUUGAUGUAAAACACACGUGCCUUUUACCUCUUGACCUCGUCUCACAAUUUCGUAAUUCGUCUCGAUAGACUUAAUUUGUUGCUUGAGGGUCGGUUUCAAAAUAGGUUACAAAGGAAUGAUGUGGGUGUAGGGUAGGCUAAACAAAAUAAAAUCAAGGCUAAGUGUGGCGUUGGGAUGGGUAAAUAAUGGUAGGAAGGGAAACUUGAUGAUCGGAGCAAAUAAGAGAGAAAAAAAAAACUCGCAAGACUUUUCACUUUUUUUUAACUUGAUUUUUUUUGCUCACCUUUUUUUUUUCUCAAUUUUUUUUUCAAUCAAUUUUUUUUCGAAUUUUUUUUUUGAUUUUUUUGUUACUCCAAUACAAUAGUAAGCUAAAUACAAGGGAAAAAAAAUUAAAUUACAACUCAAAUUUUUUUUUUGAUUUUUUUUUCACGUUUUGAACCUACUUGCGGCCUUAUUACGAACGUCGGCGCUCCUCGUUUUAGUAGCUCUGAUACCAAAUGAUGUGAUCCGGCCUGAUUAAUUGAGUCGGGUUCACUUAAGAUGCCCGAUCGUCGACGAGAAGCUCAUUCAAAUUUGUAGAUAGAUGGAGUUUGAAUGUUUUAUAAGCGGAAGGUAGGCAAAAUGGGUUCAAAGGAUGGGUUUUGGUUUGAUGAAAGAUAGGUUCGGUUUAACAAAGAAUUAAGUUACAAAGAUGUUAAAUAAAUGGAAAUGGAUAAAGAACUCAAACUUUAAGAAUGAUUCAAUACUAAAAAGUAUUGCCCCGAGUCUUAUAUUGCUUAAGGUGAAUUUUGAUGAAGGAUAGAAGCGGACCUUGACCCGUUACCUAUAUGGAGGUAAGAACCAAAAGUAUAGGAAGAUGGUUGAACGCCACACCGAUUCGGUGAUAAGUUCAAUGGAGUUCGGAUUGACACCACUAGCAAGCUAGAUAAGUCGCUUCGAGACUCGAACGAAAGAAGAGAGGAGGUAACCUCACAAGAACAAAAGUUCUAUUAAGUUUAAUUGAUCAAAUUCUGUAACCUUUUUACAAAGAGAAAAGAACUAUUUAUAGAUUACAUUAGAUAGCCAAAUAGACUAAGUAAAUUCGGCUUUAAUUGAAUUAAACUAAUCUAGAAAUGUAUCUUUAAAGGCUAUGUCCAAAUUCAGCUGAAUGGUACUUCAAUGGGCAGCUUCAUGGCUAAGGAAAUGAACUUGAAGGCUUGGUGAAUGUAUGGGAGAGCAAUGGACAUGUCUAGGUUCGGCCAAGGUGUGAAUGGACACUCCAAGAGAUGCCUUUUGGCCGAAUAGGUACUUAGGAGAUCAAUGGAAAGCAACUGAUGCAUGUAAGUGAACAUUCAUGCAUUCUUCCAUUCAUUGUAUUAAAUCAUUCAUGCAUCAUCCUUACGUUCAUUGAACCAGCCCAUUCAUGAAUCAUCUUUAAUUGUGUUCCCACAUCAUGCAUUGUAAGUAGACGUUCAUGCACCUAGCUUGAAUGAAUCUCCACAUUCGGCUGUACCUACAUGAAACAUGAACAAAUUAAUUAAAAUAGAUAUAUUAAUUAACACAUAAAUUUAAAAUAGACAAAAAUAAAGUCUUAACUAAACAUAUUAAAUUCGGCUAAGACAACUUUAAAAACAUGAAAUAAAUCAAAACAUAAUUAUGAGCUGUAAUAACUUAAACUAAGUUAAUAAAAUACUUUAAUUAUUCAACCAAUAAAAUAAAUGAGCUGAAUUGUAGCUAAAUUGAGCUCGAUUGAGCUGAAAUGAGCUCAAUUGAGCUUGUCGGAGUUGAAACGAGCUAGAAAAGCUAAAAUGGAGCUGAAAUUAGCUUGCACUAAGGUGCAUGGUUUCUUCAAGGAGUUGGAUCGAGCUUCCUCAUCUUCAACAAGCUGAUUCUCCUUCCAAAACUUGAACAACAAAGCUGAAACAACUUCAUGAAAUCGCUUGGACCUAGCUCGGGUCAUUGGUCCCUUUGGAAGCUCGAGGGAAUCAAGACGAGGACUUGAUGGGGCUUGGGGCGUGGUCACAUCACCAUCUAAGGGAACUUGAAAUGAAAUAGGAUACGCUAUGUCUGGAGAUAUGAGAGUAGAACCACCUCUUAUAUAAGACACUGCUUUAAAAGGGAUCUAUCCCGAUUCUUGAACAAGAACCAUGACAUGAGAUCCUUCUUAUUAUAUGUAAAUUCCUUCUGUCUUGAGCCUUCCACCAGCUCUCUAAGAACCUCUUUAUUUGCCCAAUCCUUUUACUUAAUGUAAUGCCCUAUUCCUUUCGAGUUAGGAUCUCGAUUAGCCUAUUCUAUUUAAUAAAAUAAUAAAAGGCAAAUUGCCUUCAUUCCCCUUCUAUUCCCAAGAGCUGAUUCCAUAGGAGCGCAUUCUUCCUUUAUUGAUUCAAAAACCUUCUUGCUAACCGCCCUUAUCCUGCAAAGAGCUUAAGCUUAUUCUCUUCCUCGACGUGCCAAAGCCCCAUAUAAUGUAAAAUUGGAUGCUUCCUCUACUUCCCCUGCGACUCCUAUUGCU